ACAGCAUUCAGCUCCACACAGACCUCGACUGUGCAGCUGAUACUUUAAGCAGAAGCCUUUUCUCAUGAGGAAACCCUCAGACGUUAAGAUUUCCCAGGCCGGGCAGGAACAAUUGAAGUCAGUAGGAUUUUUACUGAUUCAGAAAGGAGAUCUGUCACAAUGAAUAAAAAGCAAAGCCGAAGCUCCCCUGGGUCUGUCUCAGUUGUGGCUCUCCAACUGCCAUCAAACACGAGUGAUGUGCUGCCCAGAACUCCUGCUGCAUACAGCCUUCCUCCGCAUGCCCAGACCACAAUUCCUGCCACCAUGCCCCAACACGAGGUUGAAAGAACCACAGCUGAUCCUCUGAUUUUUUCACUCUCCACUAUAUUUGAGCAAAUCAAAUCCUAGUAAAGAAGCAGUCAAGUUCAUUCACAGGUGAGGUGUAUAUCCAAGUGUGUGCUGGAAAACUCCACAGGAGAGUAUGAGCAGGAAGGAGAACAAAGUAGCCUCCAUAUGGCCUCACCAGACAAGAAGUCCGCUGAGCUGAUUUCAUGGGAUUAUAGAAUGCCUUGGGUUGGAAGGGACCUCAGGGGUCAUGUUCCAACUCCCCUGCCACAGGCAGGGCUGCCAGCCUCUAGAUUAAAUGGUAGAUCAAAGGGCCCAGGGCCCCAUCCAACCUGGCCUUAAACACCUGCAGGGAGAUGUUCUCCUCUGAGUGCUGAGGAAUGAGGAAAUCUGGGAUUUGAGAGAGAGGUUCUGUUGGAGACACCCCAUGUAAUCCUCAUUGAUCAGCCUCUGGCAGAAAUGCUUUAUGUAUUAUCCUGUUCCUCUCAAGUGCUGUGGGAACAGAUAGGCUGCAUCUCAUGACAAAGUGGCUGGUGUAUCUGCCUGUACCUCUUCACUUUCAUUAAAUUAGGUGCCGAACAGAGACCUCUUUCCAAGUUUAGAAAUAAUUGGUUGGAUACAACCAGAUGCGAUCUGUUCAGAGCCAAGAGAAUUAAUGAUUUGUCAACUCUGUGUUUAGUAAAUAACAAAACAGAAAUUAUGAGACUUUCAAAAAGAUUUGCUUCAAAAGGUAAAUAAAAAGAUUUUUUUUAAAGCAUAAAUCAAACCAUUUAUAUUUUUCAAAUUCAUUCUGUCAUGCUAAGUACUUAUUAUCUGUCCUGUGGUUUCUGCACAACCUUGCUGUUAAUUCAGUGAGACAAAUUUAGUAGGUGACUGAUUCAGUAGUAAUGUAAUUAAAGCCUCACACAUCCCAUUGGCCUCAUCUUUGAUAGUGUUUGGCUUUCAGUCCUUUUUGUAAACUUGCUCCUGAAGAAUUAGGAAUUGG